rnacentral:sRNA from 1 species
AAAAAUUAUAAGAGCCAUAAGAGUUUAAGAAAAACCCAAUUCACUAGACUAGACUCAUAGAGUUUAAGAAAAGCUUCUCCUUAAGAACAAGAGCCAAAGAAAAGAAAAAGAAACAUUGAUCCAAGAAAAAAUCGAAAUAUGCCUUUAGUGCAAAAGGGUAGACUUAGGAUCAUCAUUGGGUUUAGAUAUAGGACCAUCUACUUGUUAUUCAUGGUUUAUGUCAUUGGGUAGAAGGGGUGCUAUUCUUGUAUGCAUAGGUUGGCACUUACCUUUAGCAUUCUUCUAAAGCUCAGUCCUUUUUCAUUGAGAGUCCCCUGCUAUUAAAAUCUGAACCACUAAAAAUGGACCAUCUUUGUCUCAUAACCUGUCAUUAGCCAAAUGAGUUCACUAGCGAUGCAUAUCUUGUU